rnacentral:misc_RNA from 1 species
CCUACGGGAGGCAGCAGUGGGGAAUAUUGGACAAUGGGGGGAACCCUGAUCCAGCGACGCCGCGUGAGUGAAGAAGUAUUUCGGUAUGUAAAGCUCUAUCAGCAGGGAAGAAAGAAAUGACGGUACCUGACUAAGAAGCCCCGGCUAACUACGUGCCAGCAGCCGCGGUAAUACGUAGGGGGCAAGCGUUAUCCGGAUUUACUGGGUGUAAAGGGAGCGUAGACGGCGAUGCAAGUCUGAAGUGAAAGGCGGGGGCCCAACCCCCGGACUGCUUUGGAAACUGUAUGGCUGGAGUGCAGGAGAGGUAAGUGGAAUUCCUAGUGUAGCGGUGAAAUGCGUAGAUAUUAGGAGGAACACCAGUGGCGAAGGCGGCUUACUGGACUGUAACUGACGUUGAGGCUCGAAAGCGUGGGGAGCAAACAGGAUUAGAUACCCGAGUAGUC